GAUCCUGGCUCAGGAUGAACGCUAGCUACAGGCUUAACACAUGCAAGUCGAGGGGCAGCAUGGUCUUAGCUUGCUAAGGCCGAUGGCGACCGGCGCACGGGUGAGUAACACGUAUCCAACCUGCCGUCUACUCUUGGACAGCCUUCUGAAAGGAAGAUUAAUACAAGAUGGCAUCAUGAGUUCACCANGUUUCACAUAUUAAGUAAGUUACGUUACGUACGA
rnacentral:rRNA from 1 species